AGUGAACGUUGGCGGCGUGGAUUAGGCAUGCAAGUCGAGCGAGAACCGUAGCAAUACGGGGACAGCGGCGAAAGGGACAGUAAUGUGUAGGUACCUACCUCCGGGUUCGGGAUAGCUGCGGGAAACUGCAGGUAAUACCGAAUAACGUCUCCGGACCAAAGGUGUGAUUCCACCUGGAGAGGGGCCUGCAUCCUAUUAGCUUGUUGGCGGGGUAACGGCCCACCAAGGCGGCGGUGGGUAGCGGGUGUGAGAGCACGACCCGCGUCAUUGGGGCUGGGACACUGCCCAGACACCUACGGGUGGCUGCAGUCGUGAAUCUUCGGCAAUGGGCGCAAGCCUGACCGAGCGACGCCGCGUGCGGGGUGAAGGCCUUCGGGUUGUAAACCGCUGUCGUAGAGGAGGAAAUGCAGGGGGGUUCUCCCCUCUGUUUGACCUAUUCUAGGAGGAAGUACGGGCUAAGUUCGUGCCAGCAGCCGCAGUAA
rnacentral:rRNA from 1 species